UGAGGAUAAAUUUUGUGGCAUCAUUUCUUCUACUUUUAUAGAUGUUUCAAAUUUCUAUAACAAAUUUUUUAAAUGCACAUACCCAGAAAUUCUUCAUCAAGGAUUUUAGCACAUAAUAAUCAAAGAUUCAUGUCAAAGGAUUAUAUAGUGUUAUCAGUAAUGGCAAACAAUUAAAUAGAUAUGAAGAAUUGUUUUAAGUAAAUUGUGCUUCUUUUAUAGGAUACUAUAGGACAGUUUCAAAGAAGCAGCCAUAUGGGUUCAACAGAAGCCGGUGAUGGAAGGAACAAACCCUCUUUCUUACUCAGGAACUUAGACUAAGAAACUAGACUCCUGCCUGCCACAUACUAGGUGACAUGUGGCCAAAGACUCGGAAGGACUAAAGGGGACAGUGAAGAUGGCUUACUGGGACCUGAAGUCCACUCGAUGUAGCUCCGGUGCUCCUUGGAGGUUGCAGAUGCGCUCCGUGUGAGUGUACUUCAUUUGGAGGACAGGUCCUUAAGGAAAACACUGAGAAUAAAACGCAUUUCCAAAA